AAAACAUGUCCUUUAGGAUUAAAUUUAAGGUCUAACCUGCCCACUGAAAAAUUGAAUGGCCGCAGUAUUUUAACUGUGCAAAGGUAGCAUAAUCAUUAGUNUUUUAAUUGAAGGCUUGUAUGAAUGGUUGGACAAGAUAUAUAUUGUUUCAUAUAAAUUUAUAGAAUUUUAUUUUUUAGUUAAAAAGCUAAAAUUUUAUUAAAAGACGAGAAGACCCUAUAGAUCUUUAUAAUUAUUAAGUUUUAUUUAUUAAGAAUAUUUUAUAUUUAAUUUAGAUAAUUAUUUUAUUGGGGUGAUAGUAAGAUUAAUUGAACUCUUAUUUAAAUUAAUACAUAAAUUAAUGAUUAAUUGAUCCAAUAUUAUUGAUCAGUAAAAUAAGUUACCUUAGGGAUAACAGCGUAAUUUUUUUAGAGAGUUCAUAUCGAUAAAAAAGAUUGCGACCUCGAUGUUGGAUUAAGAGAUAAAUUUGGGCGCAGCCGUCAA
rnacentral:rRNA from 1 species